rnacentral:misc_RNA from 1 species
GGAAUAUCAAGGUCAAGAAGUCCUGCGUGUACGUGCCUUCGGCUCAUCGUUCUUCACCCUUGCAAUAAACAUAAGGAAUGGACGCUUCAUUCUUCACUCAUCCAAGAAUGUUAUAUCAUCAUCAGUAGUUGUUGAGUGUGAAGAGGCCCUAAACCAGGGAAGUAUGUCAGCUGCUGAGGCUUUUAUUAGCUUGAGAAGCAAAAGCAUUU